rnacentral:rRNA from 1 species
UACGUAGAGUGCAAGCGUUGUCCGGAAUUAUUGGGCGUAAAGGGUACGCAGGCGGAUAAUCAAGUCAAGCGUGAAAGGUGUCGGCUUAACCGACAGACUGCGUUUGAAACUGGUUAUCUUGAGUGUAACAGAGGAGAGUGGAAUUCCUAGUGUAGUGGUGAAAUACGUAGAUAUUAGGAAGAACACCAGUGGCGAAGGCGACUCUCUGGGUUAACACUGACGCUGAGGUACGAAAGCUGGGGGAGCGAAC